rnacentral:rRNA from 1 species
UACGGGGGGGGCAAGCGUUGUUCGGAAUUACUGGGCUUAAAGGGCUCGUAGGUGGCCAACUAAGUCAGACGUGAAAUCCCUCGGCUUAACCGGGGAACUGCGUCUGAUACUGGAUGGCUUGAGUUCGGGAGAGGGAUGCGGAAUUCCAGGUGUAGCGGUGAAAUGCGUAGAUAUCGGGAGGAACACCAGAGGCGAAGGCGGCGACCUGGAUAGGUACCGACACUAAACUACGAAAGCGUGGGGAGCAAACAGG